rnacentral:rRNA from 1 species
UACGUACGUACGAGGUUAGGGUACGUACUACUGGGCUCAGGAUGAACGCUGGCGGCGUGCCUAACACAUGCAAGUCGAGCGAUUACUCGGUAAAGAGCGGCGGACGGGUGAGUGACGCGUGGGUAACCUGCCCUGUACACACGGAUAACAUACCGAAAGGUAUGCUAAUACGAGAUAAUAUGCUUUUAUCGCAUGGUAGAAGUAUCAAAGCUUUUGCGGUACAGGAUGGACCCGCGUCUGAUUAGCUAGUUGGUAAGGUAACGGCUUACCAAGGCGACGAUCAGUAGCCGACCUGAGAGGGUGAUCGGCCACAUUGGAACUGAGACACGGUCCAAACUCCUACGGGAGGCAGCAGUGGGGAAUAUUGCACAAUGGGCGAAAGCCUGAAUGCAGCAACGCCGCGUGAGCGAUGAAGGCCUUCGGGUCGUAAAGCUCUGUCCUCAAGGAAGAUAAUGACGGUACUUGAGGAGGAAGCCCCGGCUAACUACGUGCCAGCCGCGGC